AGAGUUUGAUCAUGGCUCAGAAUCAACGCUGGCGGCGUGCCUAACACAUGCAAGUCGAACGCGAAAGGGGCUUCGGCCCUGAGUAGAGUGGCGAACGGGUGAGUAACACGUGGGUGAUCUACCUUCGAGUGGGGGAUAACGUUCCGAAAGGAGCGCUAAAACCGCAUGACGUUCCGGGUUUGAAGACCGGGAAACCAAAGUCGGGGCCCUUAGGGAAACUUAAGGCCUGACGCUCGGAGAGGAGCCCGCGCCUGAUUAGCUAGUUGGUGGGGUAACGGCUCACCAAGGCGACGAUCAGUAGCCGGCCUGAGAGGGCGGACGGCCACACUGGGACUGAGACACGGCCCAGACUCCUACGGGAGGCAGCAGUGGGGAAUUGUUCGCAAUGGGCGCAAGCCUGACGACGCAACGCCGCGUGGAGGAUGAAGGUCUUCGGAUUGUAAACUCCUGUUGACCGGGAAGAACGGGUCUCGAGCGAAUAGCUCGGGACAGUGACGGUACCGGUGAGAGCC
rnacentral:rRNA from 1 species